rnacentral:rRNA from 1 species
GGACGAACGCUGGCGGCGUGCCUAAUGCAUGCAAGUCGAGCGGGCUACGAUCUUCGGAUUGUAGCUUAGCGGCGAACGGGUGAGUAACACGUAGGUAAUCUACCCUUCAGAGGAGGACAACCUCAGGAAACUGAGGCUAAACCUUCAUACGUUCACUGGUAGGGAUACUGGUGAAGAAAGAGUUACCUUAAAGGUAGCUGCUGAAGGAUGAGCCUGCGGCCCAUCAGGUAGUUGGUGAGGUAACGGCUCACCAAGCCGAAGACGGGUAGGGGACCUGAGAGGGUGGCCCCCCACAAUGGAACUGAAACACGGUCCAUACACCUACGGGUGGCAGCAGUAGGGAAUAUUAGUAAUGGGCGAAAGCCUGAACUAGCAACGCCGCGUGUGCGAAGAAGGCCUUCGGGUCGUAAAGCACUUUUUGAGAGGAUGAGGAAGGACGGUACUCUCAGAAUAAGUCUCGGCUAACUACGUGCCAGCAGCCGCGGUAACACGUAGGAGGCAAACGUUAUCCGGAUUUACUGGGCGUAAAGCGCGUGUAGGUGGUUUGGUAAGUAGGGCGUGAAAGCUCCUGGCUCAACUGGGAGAGGACGUUCUAAACUGCCAAGCUUGAGGAUGGUAGAGGGAGGUGGAAUUCCGGGUGUAGCGGUGGAAUGCGCAGAUAUCCGGAGGAACACCAGUGGCGAAGGCGGCCUCCUGGACCACUCCUGACACUCAGACGCGAAAGCUAGGGUAGCAAACGGGAUUAGAGACCCCGGUAGUCCUAGCCCUAAACGAUGUAGACUUGGCGUCGGUGGUUUAAUCGCCAUCGGUGUCGUAGCUAACGCGAUAAGUCUACCGCCUGGGGACUACGGCCACAAGGUUAAAACUCAUAGGAAUUGACGGGUCCCCGCACAAGCAGCGGAGCGUGUGGUUUAAUUCGAUGCUACACGAAGAACCUUACCUGGGUUUGACAUAGAGGUAGUAGGGAAGCGAAAGCGGACCGACCCUUCGGGGAGCCUCUACAGGUGUUGCAUGGCUGUCGUCAGCUCGUGUCGUGAGAUGUUCGGUUAAGUCCGCUAACGAGCGCAACCCUCGCUGUGUGUUACAAGUGUCACACGGUACUGCCGAUAUUAAGUCGGAGGAAGGUGGGGAUGACGUCAAGUCAGCAUGACCUUUAUAUCCAGGGCUACACACACGCUACAAUGGCCAGUACAAUGGGUUGCCAAGCCGCGAGGCGGAGCCAAUCCUAAAAAGCUGGCCUCAGUUCAGAUUGCAGUCUGCAACUCGACUGCAUGAAGUUGGAGUUGCUAGUAACCGCAGGUCAGCAAUACUGCGGUGAAUACGUUCCCGGGGAU